AAAGGAAUUGCUGGGUUAUAUGGGAGAUUUUAGGAAAUUGCAAUUUUUUUUCCAAAGUGUUUUACUAUUUUUGCAUCCCUAUUAGCAGU
rnacentral:miRNA from 1 species